rnacentral:rRNA from 1 species
UACGAAGGGGACUAGCGUUGUUCGGAAUUACUGGGCGUAAAGCGCACGUAGGCGGCUUUGUUAGUCAGGGGUGAAAUCCCGGGGCUCAACCUCGGAACUGCCUUUGAUACUGCAAGUCUCGAGUCCGAUAGAGGUGGGUGGAAUUCCUAGUGUAGAGGUGAAAUUCGUAGAUAUUAGGAAGAACACCGGUGGCGAAGGCGGCCCACUGGAUCGGUACUGACGCUGAGGUGCGAGAGCGUGGGGAGCAAACAGG